UACAUGGGGUGCAAACGUUGCUCGGAAUUAUUGGGCGUAAAGCGCACGUAGGUGGUCCCUUAAGUCGGAUGUGAAAGCCCUCGGCUUAACUGAGGAAGUGCAUCCGAAACUGAGUAGCUAGAGUACGAAAGAGGGUCGCGGAAUUCCCGGUGUAGAGGUGAAAUUCGUAGAUAUCGGGAGGAACACCGGUGGCGAAGGCGGCGACCUGGGUCGAGACUGACGCUGAUGCGCGAAAGCGUGGGGAGCAAACAGG
rnacentral:rRNA from 1 species